CCUACGUGAGGCAGCAGUGAGGAAUAUUGGUCAAUGGACGAGAGUCUGAACCAGCCAAGUAGCGUGAAGGAUGAAUGCCCUAUGGGUUGUAAACUUCUUUUAUAUGGGAAUAAAAAGUUACACGUGUGGGAUUUUGUAUGUACCAUAUGAAUAAGGAUCGGAUAACUCAGUGCCAGCAGCCGCGGUAAUACGGAGGAUCCGAGCGUUAUCCGGAUUUAUUGGGUUUAAGGGGAGCGUAGGUGGAUUGUUAAGUCAGUUGUGAAAGUUUACGGCUCAACCUUAAAAUUGCAGUUGAAACUGGCAGUCUUGAGUACAGUAGAGGUGGGCGGAAUUCGAGGUGUAGCGGUGAAAUGCUUAGAUAUCACGAAGAACUCCGAUUGCGAAGGCAGUUCACUGGACUGCAACUGACACUGAGGUUCGAAAGUGUGGGUAUCAAACAGGAUUAGAUACCCCGGUAGUC
rnacentral:rRNA from 1 species